AUUGAACGCUGGCGGCAUGCCUUACACAUGCAAGUCGAACGGCAGCAUGAUCUAGCUUGCUAGAUUGAUGGCGAGUGGCGAACGGGUGAGUAAUACAUCGGAACGUGCCCUGUAGUGGGGGAUAACUAGUCGAAAGAUUAGCUAAUACCGCAUACGACCUGAGGGUGAAAGUGGGGGACCGCAAGGCCUCAUGCUAUAGGAGCGGCCGAUGUCUGAUUAGCUAGUUGGUGAGGUAAAGGCUCACCAAGGCGACGAUCAGUAGCUGGUCUGAGAGGACGAUCAGCCACACUGGAACUGAGACACGGCCCAGACUCCUACGGGAGGCAGCAGUGGGGAAUUUUGGACAAUGGGCGAAAGCCUGAUCCAGCAAUGCCGCGUGUGUGAAGAAGGCCUUCGGGUUGUAAAGCACUUUUGUCCGGAAAGAAAGGGCGUUGGUUAAUACCUGGGUGUGAUGACGUUACCGAAAGAAUAAGCACCGGCUAACUACGUG
rnacentral:rRNA from 1 species